UUCGGGGUACUCGAGUGGCGAACGGGUGAGUAACACGUGGGUGAUCUGCCCUGCACUUUGGUNUNCCGAUAAUCCUGGGAAACUGGGUCUAAUACCGAAUAGGACCACGCGCUUCAUGGUGUGUGGUGGAAAGCUUUUGCGGUGUGGGAUGGGCCCGCGGCCUAUCAGCUUGUUGGUGGGGUAAUGGCCUACCAAGGCGACGACGGGUAGGCGGCCUGAGAGGGUGACCGGCCACACUGGGACUGAGAUACGGCCCAGACUCCUACGGGAGGCAGCAGUGGGGAAUAUUGCACAAUGGGCGCAAGCCUGAUGCAGCGACGCCGCGUGAGGGAUGACGGCCUUCGGGUUGUAAACCUCUUUCAAUAGGGACGAAGCGCAAGUGACGGUACCUAUAGAAGAAGCACCGGCCAACUACGUGCCAGCAGCCGCGGUAAUACGUAGGGUGCGAGCGUUGUCCGGAAUUACUGGGCGUAAAGAGCUCGUAGGUGGUUUGUCGCGUUGUUCGUGAAAACUCACAGCUUAACUGUGGGCGUGCGGGCGAUACGGGCAGACUAGAGUACUGCAGGGGAGACUGGAAUUCCUGGUGUAGCGGUGGAAUGCGCAGAUAUCAGGAGGAACACCGGUGGCGAAGGCGGGUCUCUGGGCAGUAACUGACGCUGAGGAGCGAAAGCGUGGGGAGCGAACAGGAUUAGAUACCCUGGUAGUCCACGCCGUAAACGGUGGGUACUAGGUGUGGGUUCCUUCCUUGGGAUCCGUGCCGUAGCUAACGCAUUAAGUACCCCGCCUGGGGGAGUACGGCCGCAAGGCUAAAACUCAAAGGAAUUGACGGGGGCCCGCACAAGCGGCGGAGCAUGUGGAUUAAUUCGAUGCAACGCGAAGAACCUUACCUGGGUUUGACAUGCACAGGACGCCGGCAGAGAUGUCGGUUCCCUUGUGGCCUGUGUGCAGGUGGUGCAUGGCUGUCGUCAGCUCGUGUCGUGAGAUGUUGGGUUAAGUCCCGCAACGAGCGCAACCCUUGUCCUAUGUUGCCAGCGGGUUAUGCCGGGGACUCGUAGGAGACUGCCGGGGUCAACUCGGAGGAAGGUGGGGAUGACGUCAAGUCAUCAUGCCCCUUAUGUCCAGGGCUUCACACAUGCUACAAUGGCCGGUACAAAGGGCUGCGAUGCCGUGAGGUGGAGCGAAUCCUUUCAAAGCCGGUCUCAGUUCGGAUCGGGGUCUGCACUNNNCCCACUCGACCCCGUGAAGUCGGAGUCGCUAGUAAUCGCAGAUCAGCAACGCUGCGGUGAAUACGUUCCCCCGUCGGGCCUUGUACACACCGCCCGUCACGUCAUGAAAGUCGGUAACACCCGAAGCCGG
rnacentral:rRNA from 1 species